rnacentral:lncRNA from 10 species
GCUGGGCGUGGUGGCGGGUGCCUGUAGUCCCAGCUACUGGGAAGGCUGAGGCAGCAUAAUCGGCUGCUCGGGAAGCUGAGGGGGGAGAAUCGCUUGAACCUGGGAGGUGGAGGUUGCAGUGAGCCGAGAUCGCACCAUUGCAUUCCAGCCUGGUCAACAAGAGCGAAACUUCGUCUCAAAAAGAAAAAAAAAAAGGUUUGAGUAAUGAAAGAAGGAAUUUAUAAUUCUGUUAAGCAAUUUUCCAGUCUCUGCUGUCAGGCCUCUCAGCCGAAGCUCAACCAUUGUAACCCCUGUGACUUGCACAUAUGCGUCCAGAUGGCCUGCGGGAGCCAAGAAGUCUGGGGCAGCCAAAAACCCACAAAAGAAGUAAAACAGCCACUUCCUGCCUUAACUGAUUAACAAACAUUCCACCAUUGUGACUGGUCCCUGCCCUACCUUAACUGAUCAACCAUCCUUGUGACAUUCUUCUUCUGGACAAUAAGUCUUAUGAUCUCCCCAUCAUGUACCUUGUGACCCCCUCCCCUGCUAACAAUAGAUAACAACCACCUUUUACUGUAAUUUUCCAUUACCUACCUAAAUCCUAUAAAGCAACCCCUUCCCCAUCUCCCUUCAUUGAUUCUCUUUUCGGACUCAGCCCACUUGCACCCAAGUGAAUAAACAGCCUUGUUGCUCACACAAAGCCUGUUGGUGGUCUCUUCACACGGAUGCAUUUGACAUUUGGUGCUAUGACUUGGAUCGGGGGACCUUCCUUGGGAGAUCAAUCCCCUGUCCUCCCGCUCUUUGCUCCGUGAGGAAGAUCUACCUACGACCUCGGGUCCUCAGACCAGCCCAAGGAACAUCUCACCAAUUUUAAAUCGGUGACCCACUGGAAAUCAGACCGCCCAGCUCACCCGGCAGCCACUUCCAGAGCCCAGCCCCUAAAGCUCUGGCCCAAGGGUCUCUGACUGACUCCUUACCAGACCUGCUCAGCUUAGUGGCUGAAGACUGACGCUGCCCAAUCACCUUGGAAGCCCCCUGGACCAUCAUGGAUGCCAAGCUUCGGGUAACUUUCACAGUGGAGGGACUAAACCAGUGAUGAACUCCUGGCAACAUCCAGACAAGACCAAGCUUCUGUGCAACACCCCCUCCAAACGGCUGUCCAAACAUACUUCCAGGCCUGCUUCACCCGUUCCUCUAAACCAUAAUCUCUGAGGACCUGCUGUCUAUAAAAACAACUUCCUUCAGGCCUUGUCCUCCAAAAUGUUCCCCACCCCCAAAAUCAAAGACCUCUGAAUUAAAAAUCUAAAAUGCCUGGGGUGGCAGCUGUCAAAUCCUUGCCCAUGGGGUCCUCAGGCCUACUCAUAUAGAAAUGACCAGCAAUAUGCAUAUAGAGGACCAGUUCCACAUAUCUGGCACUCAGGUCAACAUCCAGGACGACACAUGGUCUGUCAUUGGUUAUUAGAAGGCCUAGGACAUUUCUCUCUUUGCCAGCCCCAACUUAUUCCAGGAGACAGGGACUAUUGUACUUACUGUCUUUCCUGUAUAGGGUCUGCAGUAAGGACUAUUGAACUCCUCCAUUCAAAACACCACUCACACCUUUGGGAAAAAAGUAACAUAAUAGACUUUUGGCUCGAUGCCAGGGGAUCCUAUUCAUAUGAUGGCAAAUGGGGACAAAAGGCCUUGGUAUAUAAAACGUUAUUCCUACCUUGGCCUAAAAACUCACUGCCACCUACCUUAAAGCUAUUAUGCUUAAUUGCUAUUUUUAGAUAAUUUAUUCUACUAGGAGAAUUCCAAGCUCAAAAAUAUGCUAACUGGUGCCUUGUUAGCCACACAAAAUUGUACCCGAAAACUUUCUAGACCAACUCACUAUAAAAUUAAAUUUUCUUUAGGUGUCCAUGCUGCCCCUAAGUCAUGCCUGAAGCAGCCCUGAGAAACAUCGCCCCUGCCCCAAUAAUCCCCAGUAAAAACUUAUAUUUUCUUUAUCUUUUCUUAUAACUUUAUAUUUUAUAAAUAAAAAGACAGGAAUGUCAGGCCUCUGCGCCGAAGCUCAGCCAUUGUAACCCCUGUGACUUGCACAUAUGUGUCCAGAUGGCCUGCAGGAGCCAAGAAGUCUGGGGCAGCUGAAAAACCACAAAAGAAGUAAAACAGCCAGUUCCUGCCUUAACAGAUUAACCAACAUUCCACCAUUCCACCAUUGUGACUGGUCCCUGCCCUACCUUAAUGGAUCGAUUGACCUUGUGACAUUCUUCUUCUGGACAAUGAGUCUUAUGAUCUCCCUACCAUGUACCUUGUGACCCCCCUCCUCUGCUAACAAUAGAUAACCACCUUUUAGUGUAAUUUUCCAUUACCUACCCAACUCCUAUAGGGCAACCCCUUCCCCAUCUCCCUUCGCUGACUCUCUUUUCAGACUCAGCCCACUUGCACCCAAGUGAAUAAACAGCCUUGUUGCUCACACAAAGCCUGUUGGUGGCGUCUUCACACAGACAUGCGUGACAUCUGCUCACCCACCUCUAAUACUGCAGAUUGAACAGUUCCCUUUGGAAAGCCCUUCCUGAUGUUGAGCUAAAAUGUCUUCCUGUCAUGUCCAUUCAUUAGUAGAAUAAACAUUUUAUCCAAAUGAGGCUGAUUAAACCAGAGGUUUAUGCAAAGGUGUAUGCAUCAAAGAUAGUGAUUUCCUGAGUGGAAGAAUUAAAUACCAGCUAAGAGUGAUUACAUAAAGCAUGGACCUUUUAUCUCUAUAGAAAAAACGCUACCUGACAAUAUUUCAAGUUAGAAUUUUGCUUUUCUUUUUCUCAAGUCAGGGUCUCAUUCUGUCACACAGACUGGAGUGCAGUGGUGCGAUCAUGCUGGCUAAUUUUUAAAUUUUUUGUAGACAGGGUCUGCUAUGUUGCCCAGGUUGGUCUAGAGCUCCUGGGCUCAAGGGAUCCUCCUACCUUGGCCUCCCAAAGUGCUGGGAUUACAGGCAUGAGGCACCUCGCCCAGCCCAAAUUAGGAUUUUUCUGGAGUGUAUAUUAGCACUUUCCUGAAAGGCAGCAAAUGUUUCAAAAGUUCACACCCUUUAACUCAAUAAUUACACAUCUAGGAAUCUUAUUCUCUGAAAAUAGUAUAGCAUGGAAAACGUUUUUUGCACAAAUUUUUGUUUUUUUAACCACAGUGUUUCUUUUAAAAUGUUAUUAAAAGAAUAAAAACAACCAAAAAUGUUCCUCAGAAGCAAUAUGUAAAUUCUGAAUACCAGAUAAACUACUAGGCAAGCAUCUAAAAUAAAGUUUACAGAUUUUCUUAAAACAUGAUGAAAUACUUGUGUAUUCAAUGGAUAUUCCAAGGCUCAGCUUCUAUAAAAAAAAUCUAACUCUGAGUAAGGGGAUCCAUAACAG